rnacentral:rRNA from 1 species
AACGAACGCUGGCGGCAUGCCUAACACAUGCAAGUCGAACGAGACCUUCGGGUCUAGUGGCGCACGGGUGCGUAACGCGUGGGAACCUGCCCUUAGGUUCGGAAUAACUCCCCGAAAGGGGUGCUAAUACCGGAUAAUGUCUUCGGACCAAAGAUUUAUCGCCUUUGGAUGGGCCCGCGUUGGAUUAGCUAGUUGGUAGGGUAAAAGCCUACCAAGGCGACGAUCCAUAGCUGGUCUGAGAGGAUGAUCAGACACACUGGGACUGAGACACGGCCCAGACUCCUACGGGAAGCAGCAGUGGGGAAUAUUGGACAAUGGGCGAAAGCCUGAUCCAGCAAUGCCGCGUGAGUGAUGAAGGCCUUAGGGUUGUAAAGCUCUUUUACCCGGGAUGAUAAUGACAGUACCGGGAGAAUAAGCUCCGGCUAACUCCGUG